rnacentral:lncRNA from 1 species
ACCGCGGGUGAGUUUGUGCAAGAAUUCACGAGGACUUGAUCGCUACUGCAAACUGAUUUCUACUGCAAAUCUCUAGUGCAAGUGUGUAGAAGCACUUAAAAUAACAUUCAAGACACUGGAGAUCCCCUCCAAAAAAAACUGAUUCGGAAAAGUGAUGGAUCCUUAGAACUGCUAAACUGGGCUACAAGAACGAACGUAAGGUCAAAAAGUAAUAAUGUGCACCGGCACGACAAUGGAACUCUACCGAGCCAGUGUCCGGAACACUGUAUAAAGGGGUCUGUGAUCCACAGGGAAGAAAGGAUGGCAAUGAGGAAACUAGUCGUUCAAUGAAGGAAGGUCUUCGUGAUCCGAAACGGACGAGUCUACGAGACAAACCAACGCUCUUCACCUAGCACUAACCCCAACGAGCAAGAUGACCUACAACCGAAGGAAGAGGCCAAGGUCAGCAGGAAACGGAAAAGUAGCCAGCCCCGGUGAGGGUUUCUUCCUUCUUCAGAUAUACAAAUACAAGCCUUCUUGCCAGUGUGGUUCUGUGUGGAUCUGUGUGGACAGUCAGACAAACUGGCAAAUCUCUG